GGGGCGGCCAGGGGACAAUGGGGUAACAGAAUCCAGAAAGCUGGUGAUAGAGUCACUGAAAUAGGUGACCUUGGAGUCAAACUUGUUGAGGAGGCCCAAGUGGGUGGUAAGGGAAAUGAAAGCAAGAAUGAUCCAUGACAUAAGGUCAUAAGAAGACUGUCCAGCAGAUUCAGGAAUCAGUUUGUACAUAUUCCCCAUCCAAAUAUCAUGUUGAAAUUUAAUCCCCAGUGUUGGAGGGGGAGCCUAGUGGGAAGUGAUUGGGUCAUGGGGGUGGAUUUCUCAUGAAUUGUGUAGUAUCAUCCCCUUGGUGCUGUCCUUGUUACAGUGAGUAAAUUCUCAUGCGAUCUGGUCAUUUAAAAGUGUGUGGCAGGCCAAGUACAGUGGCUCAUGCCUGUAAUCCCAACACUUUGGGAGGCUGAGGCUGGUGGAUCACCUGAGGUCAGGAGUUUGAGAACAGCCUGGCCAACAUGGUGAAACCCUGUCUCUACUAAAUAUAAUACCAAAAAAAAUUAGCCAGACAUGGUGGCAUGUGCCUGUAGGCCCAGCUACUUGGGAGGCUGAGGCACAAUAAUCAUUUGAACCUGGACAGUGGAGAUUGGCAGUGAGCCAAGAUUGAGUCACUGCACUCCAGCCUGGGCACAGAAUGAGACUCUGCCUUUAUUUAAAAAAAAAAAAAAAAAAAAAAGCUCUGUGGCACCUCUCCUUUCUCUCUUUCAUUCCUGCUUUCACCAGAUGAUGUGCCUGCUUGCACUGGAAUUUCUUCUAUAAGUAAAAGCUUCCUGAGGCCUUCCCAGAACCUGAGCAGAUGUUGUACAGCCUGCAGAACUAUGAGAAAACUGAGGCAUGGAGAAAUAGAUGAAUGUGUCCAGUCGCAGAGCUGGUAAGCCAAUGGAGGCACAAGCUGCACUCACAUGGUCACGAAUGCCUUUUAGACAGCCUGACUCUGGAACUCUGUAAGCCA
rnacentral:lncRNA from 1 species